UCCGCCCCUUAUGUACCUGGGCUACACACGUGCUACAAUGGUUGGUACAACGAGUUGCGAGUCGGUGACGGCGAGCUAAUCUCUUAAAGCCAAUCUCAGUUCGGAUUGUAGGCUGCAACUCGCCUACAUGAAGUCGGAAUCGCUAGUAAUCGCGGAUCAGCACGCCGCGGUGAAUACGUUCCCGGGCCUU
rnacentral:rRNA from 1 species